rnacentral:rRNA from 1 species
AACUAACGCUGGCGGCGUGCCUAAACACAUGCAAGUCGUACGAGAAAGUCGGCUUCGGCUGAUGAGUAAAGUGGCGCACGGGUGAGUAACGCGUGGAUAAUCUGCCUUUUAGUUGGGAAUAACGUACCGAAAGGUGCGCUAAUACCGGAUAAUACUGCAUAACUACUGUUGUGUAGUCAAAGAGGCCUCUGUUUACAAGCUUUUGCUGAAAGAUGAGUCCGCGUACCAUUAGCUAGUUGGUAGGGUAAUGGCCUACCAAGGCUACGAUGGUUAGCUGGUCUGAGAGGAUGAUCAGCCACACUGGAACUGAGACACGGUCCAGACUCCUACGGGAGGCAGCAGUGAGGAAUAUUGCGCAAUGGGGCAACCCUGACGCAGCAACGCCGCGUGAGUGAGGAGGUUUUCGGACCGUAAAGCUCUGUCGAGCGGGAAGAAAUGUAUCGUGGCUAAUAUCCAUGAUAUUUGACGUACGCUAAAGAGCACGGUA